AGCUCUUUGCCUUCGCGAGCGUUUAAGGUGGACUUGGAACAUAGCUGAAAUGGAGAGGGUUACUCUGAGCAUGUUAGUAGUGUAGAGUAAACAGGCGAGUGAGUCCAAAAUGUAGUCAAUUGAUCCGUUAUAAAGUGACAACUGACGGCUAGACCCGUUAGCAUGAGAUGUUCACCUGAGUUCACUCUCUCACUAUGUUUACAUGAACAACAAUAAUCCGAUAUUAACCCAAUUAAUACAAUACUCUGAUUAAGGAACUAGCAUGUAAACAGAUUUCUGAUGACCUUAAUCCGACUAAAGUCAUGCUUGAAGUAAUGACGUGUAUGGUAAGUAAUCACGUGUGCCGUUAACCGAUCUAUGUUCUAUAACAUGUAAAAUGGGAACAUGAAAGGAAUAUUCUAAAAGCAACUCAUGUAAACAACUUAAUCAGAAUAUUGUCAUUCAUAAUAAGGUCAAUAAUUAGAUUACUG
ensembl:lncRNA